UUACAAUGAGUUUGUGAGUCUCCAUGCUGCUCUAACAUUGCAUGGAGUCUAUGUCUGGAGUAUUGUCCUUCAUUCCCGUGCAAAUGCUGAAGUAAUGCAAGAAUGUGAACAUUGGGACUAUUCCAGACGUAGCCUUCAUGCAUGUUAGAGUGAUGUGGAAACCCGUGAACUACUUGUAA
rfam:Physcomitrella patens subsp. patens PHYPAscaffold_234 genomic scaffold, whole genome shotgun sequence.